GACGAACGCUGGCGGCGUGCCUAAUACAUGCAAGUCGAACGAACCGCGACUAAGUGCUUGCACUAAGUCAAGGUGAGUGGCGAACGGGUGAGUAACACGUGGGUAACCUACCUCAUAGUGGGGGAUAACAGUCGGAAACGACUGCUAAUACCGCAUAGGACAUAGGAUCACAUGAUCCAGUGAGGAAAGGUGGCGCAAGCUAUCGCUAAGAGAUGGACCCGCGGUGCAUUAGCUAGUUGGUAGGGUAAAGGCCUACCAAGGCGAUGAUGCAUAGCCGACCUGAGAGGGUGAUCGGCCACAUUGGGACUGAGACACGGCCCAAACUCCUACGGGAGGCAGCAGUAGGGAAUCUUCCGCAAUGGACGCAAGUCUGACGGAGCAACGCCGCGUGAGUGAAGAAGGUCUUCGGAUCGUAAAGCUCUGUUGUUAGAGAAGAACAGCGCAUAGGGUAACUGCUAUGCGUGUGACGGUAUCUAACCAGAAAGCCACGGCUAACUACGUG
rnacentral:rRNA from 1 species